rnacentral:rRNA from 1 species
UACAGAGGGGGCAAGCGUUGUUCGGAAUUACUGGGCGUAAAGGGCGCGUAGGCGGCCUUCUAAGUCGAACGUGAAAUCCCCGGGCUCAACCCGGGAACUGCGUCCGAUACUGGAGGGCUUGAAUCCGGGAGAGGGAUGCGGAAUUCCAGGUGUAGCGGUGAAAUGCGUAGAUAUCUGGAGGAACACCGGUGGCGAAGGCGGCCUGCUGGGCAGUAGCUGACACUGAGGCGCGACAGCGUGGGGAGCAAACAGG